rnacentral:lncRNA from 1 species
UUUUAUAGCACCUCUUUUACCAGAAACUGCCAAAUUGUCUGGGGACAACUGUUAAUUUAAUACAAACACAAUUCUACACUUUAAAAUCUCGCGUGCAGUUACUAGUAUUGUACAAUCUGUAGUCUUAAGACAAGAAAUUUUUGUUAAGUAACAAAAAGUAGGAUUCAAAUAAAUUAUUUAUUUAAACAAAUUCGACAGAAAC